AGCAGCCGCGGUAAUUCCAGCUCCAAUAGCGUAUAUUAAAGUUGUUGCAGUUAAAAAGCUCGUAGUUGAAUUUCGGGGUUAGUAGGUUGGUCAUGCCUCUGGUAUGUACUGGUCUCACUGAUUCCUCCUUCCUGAUGAGCCGUAAUGCCAUUAAUUUGGUGUUGCGGGGAAUUUGGACUGUUACUUUGAAAAAUUGAGUGUUUAAAGCAAGCUAACGCUUGAAUACAUUAGCAUGGAAUAAUGAAAUAGGACGUUCGAUCCUAUUUUGUUGGUUUCUAGGAUUGACGUAAUGAUUAAUAGGGAUAGUUGGGGGCAUUAGUAUUCAAUUGUCAGAGGUGAAAUUCUUGGAUUUAUUGAAGACUAACUACUGCGAAAGCAUUUGCCAAGGAUGUUUUCAUUAAUCAAGAACGAAAGUUAGGGGAUCGAAGACGAUCAGAUACCGUCGUAGUCUUAACCAUAAACUAUGCCGACUAGGGAUCGGAUGAUGUUAAUUUUUAAUGUACUCA
rnacentral:rRNA from 1 species